CCUCUUCCUGUCUCAGCUCCCGCCCUCAGCCUAUAAAAGGUGUGAUUAUUUUCUGAAUAAACCGGAGGCUUGAUUGGGUUACAUCAACUUGCCUUCGUCUCUUUUUGUCUCCCCCAUGUCUUUUGUUUAAUCCCCGUUUCUCCUCCAGGAGUUCUGAACUUGUUGAUCUGCAGGCCGGAUCAAGUGGCGCCCAACGUGGGGUCUCCUGGCAUGGAGAAGUUAACGAGGGAGCCGUUCGAGAGACAGCCGGCUUAAACUGAAAGUGAAAGCAAAUUGAACCAGAGACCUCGGCCGAGGAAUGAGUAAACUGAAUCAAGGAUUAAAGCUUAAAGCAACAGGACAUUAAAUCAAGUGCCGAGACCUGCGCAGACGACUACCCGACGUCCUGCCCGAGUCACAGUGACACAUCUCCCUGGAGCCUUAUGCUGCUUAGCCAGCCUUCUUGAGCCACACCACACCCAUGGUGGAUUUCGACCCCUGCCAAACAGACUACAAUUACUGACAGCCAUGCACAGAACCCCAUGACUGCGGAAGAGGCUCUUCUCAGUCUGGAGGAACAUACACCAGCCAAAUAGACUGCAUCCAGUGUUAUGCAAGGCAUGCACCAAGACACAGGAGAAUGACUUCAUACAGAGACACCAACAAAUGACUGUCAACCCCUUCUCCUUGAUUUGGGGGGGGGGGAGUUUUUCCCUUACCUAAUGCCCCUUUUGGGUCCCCUAGCUGACCUAUUGUUUCUCAUUUCUGUGAGUCUUGUAUUUUUCAGAGGAUUAUGAUGUUCAUUAAUAACCGGAUAGACGCAUUUAUGGCAAA